ensembl:lncRNA
AUGGAAUUACAUCCAGAGUAUGAUGUUUGUGGUGCACGUCCCAAACGGCACAUUCGCCCACCUGUGCGCUAUGCAGAUUAUGAGGUUGAUUAUAGGGGCUACAUCGGUGAGAGGUACAGAGAGGAAUUAGAGAGUACUCACCAGGAGGGAAAUGCCAGGAUGACACCCCUCACCUCCCCUUAUGACUCUUCCCUUCGCCUGCAGAGGCGGGAUGCUAUUCUUCAGGAGAUGGACCUGGGCUAUAGGGCGGAGAACCAACAGCCCAGCCAGAAGAAUCAGCUAGCCCCCCAGCGGUUUCCAGAGAGAGAGUUUAGGGAACAACUACGAGAUUACUCUACUCCCCUGCCUUCAGUGCUGCACCCCAUACAUCCACAGGAGGAGAGCCGAGUUGAGUUAGAUGACAUUCGUCAUGAAAGACACCUUCUGCAGCAGACACAGCGGGACAUGGCAUCAGACUUAGUCGAGCUUAGAGCAUUGCGAGCAGACAUGAAACAGUUAGUAGAUGCUGUUCGCAACAUGCAGAGUCCAACCUCUAUUCAUACCAGAAAGCCAGAGUUAACGGUGAUGUCGCCAUGGCCACCUGUUGAACGCAAACCUAAAGCUGAGGAAGAGGAUGAUUGGCCUGCACCACCACCAUGGCCAGACCCAGAAUUGGACGAGCCUCUCCCUAGUGACCCACCUAUAGCACACUCACUUAUCAGUAGAAUAGAUGAGGUUCCAAGAAUUAAGGAAGAAGCACCACCAGCCCCAGCUCCUAACAUGUUUGUGGGCCAGCCACAAGUUAAUCACUCAGCACGUGAGGCCCUUCCUACCGCCAGGCCAUGGGAGGACACUGCCCGUCAUCCACCUCCCUGGUUCAAGCCCGUUCAGUUUCUGCCGCAGCCACACAGAUUACCUUCAGCUGAGCCCAAGUACCCUACUGCUUAUGGUGGUCAACGGAGUGAGCUUGGCUUCAACCUAACGCCCCAACAGCGACAUCCCGGCAUGGCAUGGACACAGCCCCCGCCUUUUAGCUCACCUCAGGAUCGUAACUACAGCAUCCCAGAGCCAAGUUACCGUGGGCCACGCCCAACAAUCCGCAACUUCUCAAGUCGGGACCCAAGUGAGUUCGCGCGGCUCAAGAUCUCAUUGGAGAACCUCCUACCACAUGAUGCAUCUGAGCUGUUUAAAUAUCAAGUGUUGGUCGAUCACCUGCAACUAGAAGAAGCCAGGUUAAUAGCAGAUGCUUACCUUAACUCCCCAACACCCUUCUCAGACACAAUGGUUGCCCUCAAUGACAAGUUCGGCCGGCCACAUCAGAUAGCGCUGAGGCGUAUUGCUGCUGUGAUGGACUCACCAGACAUAAAGCGGGGAGACUUUGCCGCAUUUGAGAAGUUUGCACUCCAGAUACAAUCACUGGUGGGGAUGCUGAAGACACUAGGCCACGAGGGUGAAGUGGAACUACAAUGUGGCUCACAUGUUGCUCGUCUGUUGAGCAAGCUGCCGCCUGAGCAGAGAGCAGAGUUUCGCCGCUGCAUGUACCAUCAGGGCACACAAACCCACACCUUAACUAAUCUUUCAGAUUGGUUGAAAUACGAGUCUUGGUGCCAGGACUCUGAAGGACAGUUAGCUGGGAGAGGAGCUCGGGAGAAGCCGGUGUCCAGAUAUGAGGGUAGGAAGGGUAAGCAACCUACUACUGUCCUCCAUGGUGUGAAGGACACUGCUAAGAAAUCUGAGGCUCCAGUUCCAAGCAGCUCCUUCAAAAGGAACAAGAGCAAGCCAUAUUGUCCAUUCUGCAAUAAUGAGGAACACUACCUUAGCCAGUGCACAGAGGUAUCCAGGCUAACAAAGGAUCAGCUGACCGAAUGGAUAAAAAGUAACAAGAGGUGUUGGCGAUGUGCACGGCCACACCAGGCGGCCCAGUGCAACUUAAAAAAGACAUGCAGCCUCUGCCAAGGGAAACAUCUCCAGGUUCUGCAUGAGGUGAAUAUGAGGUCAUCCAAGGAGGCAGCGUCAACACCGGCAGCGGAAAGCCAAGGCACAAGGGGGACAACAGAGGUUCUGUAUUUAGACAGACCCACUGAAGGCAGUCGGGUCCUUCUGAAAGUUGUCAAAGUCCGCCUUCACCAUGGUGACCAAUCAAUCAACACCUAUGCCAUACUUGAUGACGGUUCAGAGAGAACUAUGCUGUUGUCAGAUGCUGCAGAGAAGCUAGGUGUGCAGGGGAUUCAAGAGGACCUACCACUACGUACAAUUAGAGAGGAAGUGCAGACACUUCGUGGUGCAUCAGUGUCGUUCUUUAUUUCUUCGCCAUUAAAGCCAAAGACCAAGUUUAAGAUUACAGGUGCAUUCACUAGUGAUCGUAUUGGACUAGCUGCCCAUACUUACCCCAUGGAGCAACUCCGGAACACCUACAAGCACCUCACUGGCCUUCCCAUACGGACUCUUAUAAAUGUCAAACCCCUGCUUCUAAUUGGGAGUGACCAUCCCCAUCUCGUCACUCCCAUUGAACCUGUCAGAUUGGGACCUCCAGGUGGGCCUGCUGCCAUCCGCACAAGGCUGGGCUGGACUCUGCAGGGCCCAUCGAGUGUAGUCCGUCACCACGCCCAAUCACAGCAGUGUCUAUUUACAACAGUAACACCCCAGGUGAGCGAGCUUAUGAAACAUGUUGAGAAAUUAUGGCAGGUCGACAUUGUUCCAUUCAGAAGCGAGAAACUAGUUACUCGUUCAAGGCAGGACCAAGAGGCCAUCAGCAUCCUGGAGACCAAAACCAUCAGGGUAGAGGUUGAUGGCAUUCUCCGUUACGCAACCCCACUGCUCCGCCGGAAAGACAUGCCGCUCUUUCAGGCUACCAAAGAAGCCGUCAUGCCCUGUUUACGAAGUGUAGAGAGGCGACUUGCCAGAGAUCCUGCACGAGCAGAAGCCUACAGAGUGGAGAUGGAGAAAUUAAUAAAGGCGGGCUCUGUCAUCAAGUGUGGACCGAAAGUUUCAGACAAGGAAGGUUGUGAGGAAUGGUAUAUCCCUCACCAUAUGGUGAGCCAUAAUGGCAAGAAUAGGCUGGUAUUCAACUGCUCCUAUCAGUAUCGAGGGCAGAACCUCAACGACCAUCUACUGUCUGGGCCGACCUUAGGAGCAUCACUACUGGGAGUUCUGCUAAGAUUCCGAGAGCAUGCAGUUGCAGUUAGCGGAGACAUUAGAGGCAUGUUCCACCAAGUUCGCCUCCUCCCAGAGGAUCGUGCUCUGCUCAGAUUUCUUUGGCGCGACAUCAAGGUCUUUGUGGGCACCCGCGUGGCAGAGAUACAGGAGCUGACUGACGGGCAUGCCUGGAGAUAUGUUGAUACCGCAAGAAACCCUGCGGAUGACGUAACACGCGGAAAGAAGCUGCGAGAGCUUAUUCAGCCAAAUAGAUGGAGCCUGGGACCAGCCUUCCUCCUGAACAGUCCAGUCUCAUGGCCAGAGGACCCCACUGUUGACCAAACAGAAGAUACCUCAGAGCUAUGCAAGCCUAUCUUCUGUGGGGUCGCCACCGUUGCAUCAAGCCAGGCAACUUCAGACCUGGGCCAAUACGGCUCGUGGAAGGAGUUGUUGGAAGGGACAGUGCAGGAGCUGCAUGGGGCGGCCAACUCUAAUGAUAAGCCCACAGCUGAAGACUACCGACAGGCUGAACAAUUAAUACUUCAGAGGGCUCAGAGGGAUAGUUUUCAGCAGGAGUACAGCCUCCUGAAAGCUGGUAAACCCGUCCCCAGCUACAGUCGACUUCGCACGCUGUCUCCAGAGCUGGAUGGAAAGGGAGAGCUCAUUCGUGUUGGAGGACGACUCCGUCGAGCAGAAGGCCUAGAACUGACCACUCUUCAUCCAGUCAUCUUGGACCCAGGUCAUUGA